AACGAACGCUGGCGGCGCGCCUAAUACAUGCAAGUCGAACGAGAAUGUGUAGCAAUACACAUGUACAGUGGCGAACGGGUGAGGAAUACAUGGGUAACCUACCCUCGAGUGGGGAAUAACCAGCCGAAAGGUUGGCUAAUACCGCGUACGCUUCCGAGACUGCGGUUUCGGAAGGAAAGCGAUACCGUGGGUAUCGCGCUCUUGGAUGGGCUCAUGCCCUAUCAGCUUGUUGGUGAGGUAACGGCUCACCAAGGCAUCGACGGGUAGCUGAUCUGAGAGGAUGAUCAGCCACACUGGCACUGCGACACGGGCCAGACUCCUACGGGAGGCAGCAGUAAGGAAUAUUGCGCAAUGGGCGAAAGCCUGACGCAGCGACGCCGCGUGGGGGAUGAAGGUCUUCGGAUUGUAAACCCCUUUCGGGAGGGAAGAUGGGAUGGGGUAACCCAUUCGGACGGUACCUCCAGAAGCAGCCACGGCUAACUACGUGCCAGCAGCCGCGGUAAUC
rnacentral:rRNA from 1 species